GAAUUUUGGACAAUGGGCGAAAGCCUGAUCAAGCAAUGCCGCGUGCAGGAUGAAGGCCUUCGGGUUGUAAACUGCUUUUGUACGGAACGAAAAGAUUUGGGUUAAUACCCUGGAGUCAUGACGGUACCGUAAGAAUAAGCACCGGCUACCUACGUGCCAGCAGCCGCGGUAAUACGAAGGGUGCAAGCGUUAAUCGGAAUUACUGGGCGGAAAGCGGUCGCAGGCGGUUUUGGAAGCCAUAGGUGAAAUCCCCGGGCUCAACCUUGGAACUGCCGUUGUGACUGCAAGGCUAGAGUACGGCAGAGGGGGGUGGAAUUCCGCGUGUAGCAGUGAAAUGCGUAGAUAUGCGGAGGAACACCGAUGGCGAAGGCAACCCCCUGGGCCUGUACUGACGCUCAUGCACGAAAGCGUGGGGAGCAAACA
rnacentral:rRNA from 1 species